rnacentral:rRNA from 1 species
GACGAACGCUGGCGGCGUGCUUAACACAUGCAAGUCGAACGGUGAAAGCGGAGCUUGCUCCGCUGGAUCAGUGGCGAACGGGUGAGUAACACGUGGGCAACCUGCCCCUCACUUCGGGAUAACUCCGGGAAACCGGGGCUAAUACCGGAUAUGACCUCCUUGGGCAUCCUUGGAGGUGGAAAGUUUUUCGGUGAGGGAUGGGCCCGCGGCCUAUCAGCUUGUUGGUGAGGUAGUGGCGCACCAAGGCGACGACGGGUAGCCGGCCUGAGAGGGGAACCGGCCACAGUGGGACUGAGACACGGCCCAGACUCCUACGGGAGGCAGCGGUGGGGAAGAUUGCGCAAUGGGCGAAAGCCUGACGCAGCAACGCCGCGUGCGGGAUGACGGCCUUCGGGUUGUAAACCGCUUUCAGCAGGGAAGAAGCCGCAAGGUGACGGUACCUGCAGAAGAAGCACCGGCUAACUACGUGCCAGCCGCCGCAGUAA